AAGUCGAACGGAAAGGCCCUGCUUGCAGGGUACUCGAGUGGCGAACGGGUGAGUAACACGUGGGUGAUCUGCCCUGCACUUCGGGAUAAGCUUGGGAAACUGGGUCUAAUACCGGAUAGGAGCCAUCUUUAGUGUGGUGGUUGGAAAGUUUUUUCGGUGUAGGAUGAGCUCGCGGCCUAUCAGCUUGUUGGUGGGGUAAUGGCCUACCAAGGCGGCGACGGGUAGCCGGCCUGAGAGGGUGUACGGCCACAUUGGGACUGAGAUACGGCCCAGACUCCUACGGGAGGCAGCAGUGGGGAAUAUUGCACAAUGGGCGCAAGCCUGAUGCAGCGACGCCGCGUGGGGGAUGAAGGCCUUCGGGUUGUAAACUCCUUUCGCUAGGGACGAAGCUUUGUGUGACGGUACCUAGAUAAGAAGCACCGGCUAACUACGUGCCAGCAGCCGCGGUAAUACGUAGGGUGCGAGCGUUGUCCGGAAUUACUGGGCGUAAAGGGCUCGUAGGUGGUUUGUCGCGUCGUCUGUGAAAUUCUGGGGCUUAACUCCGGGCGUGCAGGCGAUACGGGCAUAACUUGAGUGCUGUAGGGGUAACUGGAAUUCCUGGUGUAGCGGUGAAAUGCGCAGAUAUCAGGAGGACACCGAUGGCGAAGGCAGGUUACUGGGCAGUUACUGACGCUGAGGAGCG
rnacentral:rRNA from 1 species